ensembl:lncRNA
GGUGGCAGGGGAUGGGGUGAGUCACAGGAGCCUGUCUCCCAACAGGCGCGCUGCCCUGACCACCUGUGGCAUGCCUCAGGGCCAGGCUCCCACAAGGAGAUCCUGUGACUGUAUCAGUGUGUUUCUUCAUUUCUGACCCAGUUUGGAAUGUAUCCACAAUCGUGUGGCUCAACGCUUUAGGCAAUGAUAGAUCCUUUUGUAUUCUCCGUAUUAUUUCUGAUGGUGACAGAUUUGUCUUGAGGUCACAUUUUUCCCCUUGAAAAGUGGCAUCAUGUCACUUCUGCUUCCACACGACUGCCAUACUUCUGUAUGUUUUUGGUUUGGUUAUUGUUGUCGUUGGGGGUAGAGCAGUUACAGAAAACUCUAAAACCCUUGGAUAGUUAAAAAAGGAAUUCUGUUCAUUGGUUUAUUUUAAAUCUGUCCUUUUCAAAAGCUGGAUACCCAUGGAGCUGUUCGGGAAUUUUCUUUGCUGCUACCGCGCUGCCACCAAAUGGAAUUGACCAGCGGCUGUUACACUGUUCUUUGCCACUGUGCCUACGCUCAGAAUCUGCUCACUGCUAAGCUGCAGACUUGGACAGGGUCAGAAACCUAGGUGUCCCACCCCACUGAGGACUGCGGACUUCGUUCCUUCUCUGGUGCCCACCGCACAGGUUCAGAAGGGAACAAAGACCAAAGGGCCGGCGCACCUUAUCGGUGUGGCGUCCUUUUCAAACUGCAGGCAGCCUCAGAGCUUGUGCUAAGCUGAGUGUUCUCUCAGGAGAACCUGUGGCCUCAAGCCGCCACCACGCUGAUGCAGCCCAAGUCCAUUUCUUGGGCUUCUCUUUUGAAGCACAGCCUGUUUCUGAGCUGAGGGUGGGGGAGACGCAUCUGGAUGUGGGACCCAUUACCCAGAGCCAGGGAAAGAAAGGGCCCCCUCCCUGAGCUGGGGCUCCUUUUGCAGCCUUUUCCAGUGAGAUCUCUUAAGCAGUGCCAUGAUCCUCGUUUGAUAGUAAGAUGGUCUAUAUAAAGUAUUGCUCUUAAAGAUAAUUAAAAAGAACCCUUUCAUGCUGGCACCGUUGCCUUAGUCCUCUAUGGGUCAGGCUGGAGUUCUGGUGGGAGCCACUGGCACCAUGAAGAUUGGAAAACAGUCGGGGUGGGGGGGGGGCGGUGUCAAAGUAAAAUUUCUUUUCUGCUUUCAUUCACAAAAUAGUGAAGCCAGCUGCCAAUCACAUCCUCCCAACAGCACUUUGGUCUGCGGACUGCCGUGCUUUCAGGAGAGAAGUGCUGUGAUGGACGGCUGGCCCGCCAGGGUUCGAGAAGAAUGGAUGGUUUGAAGUGCUUGCCUUUACCUGUGCACAGUCCACUGGCUGCCUCUGUUCCUAUUUUACUGUAAAUCUGAUGGUGUCUGCUGCUGUUCAUUCUCCAGAGAGCUUCUAACACCCCUGCUCAAGGGGUGGAGAUGCUGGUGUCUGGGUAGUCAUGGAUUUCUGUUGGACAUUUGAAUGUGAUAAACAUCACUGGGGAAAUACUACAUGUGGAAUGUGCACGUUUCCAGGGGCGAGCGUUGUCAGUGAAGAGGUUUGCAAUGAUUUCCUUCCUGCCAAAAAUAAAUACGUGAAACCGCACUCUCCUGUGGGUGGACUGCUUCUUAGAGCCUCUCCUCACUGUGUUAUCUGUUCU